GAUGAACGCUGGCGGCGUGCUUAACACAUGCAAGUCGAACGAGAAAUGGAGGCGGACACCUUCGGGCGGAAGGCUUCAUUUCGAGUGGCGGACGGGUGAGUAACGCGUGGGUAACCUGCCUCAUACAGGGGGAUAACAGUUGGAAACGACUGUUAAUACCGCAUAAGACCACAGCACCGCAUGGUGCGGGGGUAAAAACUCCGGUGGUAUGAGAUGGACCCGCGUUCGAUUAGCCAGUUGGCGGGGUAACGGCCCACCAAAGCGACGAUCGAUAGCCGAUCUGAGAGGAUGACCGGCCACAUUGGGACUGAGACACGGCCCAAACUCCUACGGGAGGCAGCAGUGGGGAAUAUUGCACAAUGGGGGAAACCCUGAUGCAGCGACGCCGCGUGAGUGAAGAAGUACUUCGGUAUGUAAAGCUCUAUCAGCAGGGAAGAAAAUGACGGUACCUGAGUAAGAAGCCCCGGCUAACUACGUG
rnacentral:rRNA from 1 species